AUUGAACGCUGGCGGCAUGCCUUACACAUGCAAGUCGAACGGCAGCACGGGAGCAAUCCUGGUGGCGAGUGGCGAACGGGUGAGUAAUAUAUCGGAACGUGCCCAGUCGUGGGGGAUAACGCAGCGAAAGCUGUGCUAAUACCGCAUACGAUCUACGGAUGAAAGCGGGGGAUCGCAAGACCUCGCGCGAUUGGAGCGGCCGAUAUCAGAUUAGCUAGUUGGUGGGGUAAAGGCCCACCAAGGCGACGAUCUGUAGCUGGUCUGAGAGGACGACAGCCACACUGGAACUGAGACACGGUCCAGACUCCUACGGGAGGCAGCAGUGGGGAAUUUUGGACAAUGGGCGCAAGCCUGAUCCAGCAAUGCCGCGUGCAGGAUGAAGGCCUUCGGGUUGUAAACUGCUUUUGUACGGAACGAAACGGUCUGGGUUAAUACCCUGGGCUAAUGACGGUACCGUAAGAAUAAGCACCGGCUAACUACGUGCCAGCAGCCGCAGUAAAAC
rnacentral:rRNA from 1 species